rnacentral:rRNA from 1 species
CCUACGGGUGGCUGCAGUGGGGAAUAUUGGACAAUGGGCGAAAGCCUGAUCCAGCCAUGCCGCGUGUGUGAAGAAGGCCUUCGGGUUGUAAAGCACUUUCAGUGGGGAAGAAAGCCUUGGGGCUAAUACCCUCGAGGAAGGACAUCACCCACAGAAGAAGCACCGGCUAACUCCGUGCCAGCAGCCGCGGUAAUACGGAGGGUGCGAGCGUUAAUCGGAAUUACUGGGCGUAAAGCGCGCGUAGGCGGUCUGAUAAGCCGGUUGUGAAAGCCCCGGGCUCAACCUGGGAACGGCAUCCGGAACUGUCAGGCUAGAGUGCAGGAGAGGAAGGUAGAAUUCCCGGUGUAGCGGUGAAAUGCGUAGAGAUCGGGAGGAACACCAGUGGCGAAGGCGGCCUUCUGGACUGACACUGACGCUGAGGUGCGAAAGCGUGGGUAGCAAACAGGAUUAGAUACCCCUGUAGUC